rnacentral:rRNA from 1 species
AUUGAACGCUGGCGGCAUGCCUUACACAUGCAAGUCGAACGGCAGCGCGGGGCAACCUGGCGGCGAGUGGCGAACGGGUGAGUAAUAUAUCGGAACAUACCCUAGAGUGGGGAUAACGUAGCGAAGUUACGCUAAUACCGCAUACGCACUAAGGUGGAAAGUGGGGGAUUCGCAAGAACCUCAUGCUCAUGGAGUGGCCGAUAUCUGAUUAGCUAGUUGGUGAGGUAAAGGCUCACCAAGGCGACGAUCAGUAGCUGGUUUGAGAGAACGACCAGCCACACUGGAACUGAGACACGGUCCAGACUCCUACGGGAGGCAGCAGUGGGGAAUUUUGGACAAUGGGGGCAACCCUGAUCCAGCAAUGCCGCGUGAGUGAAGAAGGCC